CAGUACGGCAGACGAAAUUAAUAUAAAAAAAUGCAAACCAAUAUAACGAAAGACCAGGAAACGUAUUUCAAAAAUAUGAUUCCUUGAAAUAUAAAUGACAAUGAAGAAUAAACGCGGGAGUUUAAAACUGAUGAAUAAAUGGAGUGAACGCAUAAUCCGUAUCCAUUCCUGCCACAAAGCCAAUUGCGGAAGCAACUUCUUCCUUCAACCCAAUUGUCUCAUUAUUAGAAAACGGCAUGCCAUAAUCUUGUAAAUAGCGAAUACACUGAUCUCUUGACAAAGCGUCAACGUUACCUAUAUUGAGCAUCCGAGGCAAUUCUUCAUUCGUGACGGGGUCAGUUCCGUUUAAAAUGGAACAACCAUAAUAGGAAAUUCAAUGAUCUCGCUUGUAUGUUUUGGGUACGUACAUUGGACAUAUCAAUACGGUCCACUUUCAGCGUUAAAUAGUCCAUGCGUGUUCGCAGUUCAUCAUAAAGCCACUAAGCGUCACUUUGAUACUCUCACAUACUAUGACAUUCUUGAUUUAAAGUAAUUUUAACACUGAUAUAAUUUACAAUCUUCAUUUUUU